ACCACCCCAUGAAGGGUUUUCGAAGGGUUUUAGGUUUCUCGAGGAUUUACGCUCCGGUCACCAUAUCCGGCCAUUAAGGGCGAGCUCUGUAACUGAAGCAGAAGAAAA